GUGCUGCUUCGGCAAUACAUAUACUAAAACUGGAAUGAUAAAGAGAAGAUUAGCGUGCCCCCUGGGCAAGGAUGGGACGCAAAUUCAUGAAGUGUUCCAUAUUUUU
rnacentral:snRNA from 1 species